rnacentral:rRNA from 1 species
CGCAUCUGUGCAUGCAGCAUAUCAAUAAGCGGAGGAAAAGAAACUAACAAGGAUUCCCCUAGUAACGGCGAGUGAAGCGGGAAGAGCUCAAAUUUGAAAUCUUAAAGGGUUUCCCUUUACGAAUUGUAGUUUAAAGAAGUGUUUUCUGUUGAGGUUUUGGUAAAAGUUCUUUGGAAUAGGACAUCAUAGAGGGUGAGAAUCCCGUAUUUGACCUUUACUUUCAACUUUGUGAUACACUUUCAAAGAGUCGGAUUGUUUGGGAAUGCAGUCCAAAAUGGGUGGUAAAUUUCAUCUAAAGCUAAAUAUUGGCGAGAGAUCGAUAGCGAACAAGUACCGUGAGGGAAAGAUGAAAAGAACUUUGAAAAGAGAGUUAAACAGUACGUGAAAUUGUCAAAAGGGGAAGCGUUUGACACCAGUGUUGUUUUUCUGAAAAUCAAUUAAAGAACUGUUUAUGCUAAGCUGUUUAGACUUUAUCAGCUAACUGUUUAGUUUUGAGCUUUUCUUUAAUGCACUUUUCAGUUAACAAGUCAACAUCAAUUUCUUUUGCUGUAAAAAAGCUUGAGGAAGGUGGCUUGAGAUUCGUCUUAAGUGUUUAUAGCCUCUUGCCUAUGCAGUCGGAGAGAUUGAGGUCUGCAGCGUAGAUCCUUCGGGGCUAAAUGCAUUUGUGCUAAGUUAUAGCAUUUUAUAGACAACUUGUUGACUAUGAUUUGUCUUGUAGCUUACUCGCUUAUGUUAUUUUACCUACGCUUAGGAUGUUGAACGCGCACAGAGUCUC